UACAGAGGUCUCAAGCGUUAUUCGGAUUCAUUGGGCGUAAAGGGUGCGUAGGUGGCGAUGUAAGUCUGGUGUGAAAUCUCGGAGCUUAACUCCGAAACUGCAUUGGAUACUGCGUUGCUUGAGGAUUGUAGAGGAGAGUGGAAUUCACGGUGUAGCAGUGAAAUGCGUAGAUAUCGUGAGGAAGACCAGUUGCGAAGGCGACGCUCUGGGCAAUUCCUGACACUGAGGCACGAAGGCCAGGGGAGCAAACGGG
rnacentral:rRNA from 1 species